AACCUGCGAGGCAGAACGACCAGCGAACAAGUGAAAACCACUUCGGGAGGCAGGCCCCAGCGCCGGUCGCCCGAGGCCUGAGGGGGAGGGACGUGGGACGCCACACAACCCCUGCUCCGAAGGCACCAAGAACAAACCCCGGCGCGAAUUGCGUCAAGGAACCGAUAACGGAUGUGCGCCUCCCCAGACCGAAGACGGUUAAGCGGGGCGGUUGCGUCGUCGUUCAUACCUUAUGUGAAACGACUCUCGGCAACGGAUAUCUUGGCUCUCGCAUCGAUGAAGAACGUAGCGAAAUGCGAUACUUGGUGUGAAUUGCAGAAUCCCGUGAACCAUCGAGUCUUUGAACGCAAGUUGCGCCCGAAGCCAUUCGGCCGAGGGCACGUCUGCCUGGGUGUCACGCAACGUCGCCAACAAUACCUCCCCGAGCCCCACUGCGGGGGGGCGAGGGACGGCGGAUGCUGGCCUCCCGUGACCCCCCGGUCGCGGUUGGCCCAAAACACAGUUCCCUGGCGAUGGCAGCCACGGCACGCGGUGGUCGGCAGCAGAUGCUCCUCGAAAACCGCCGUGGGCGAGCCUCGUCUCCGGGAACCAAGGACCCCGAUGCAAGCGUCAACACAGAGCGACCCAAGGUCAGG
rnacentral:rRNA from 1 species